rnacentral:rRNA from 1 species
CCUACGGGAGGCAGCAGUGAGGAAUAUUGGUCAAUGGCCGGAAGGCUGAACCAGCCAAGUCGCGUGAGGGAAGACGGCCCUACGGGUUGUAAACCUCUUUUGUCAGGGAGCAAGGUGCAGGUCGGGACCUGCUGUGAGAGUACCUGAAGAAAAAGCAUCGGCUAACUCCGUGCCAGCAGCCGCGGUAGUACGUAGGAGGCAAGCGUUAUCCGGAAUGACUGGGCGUAAAGGGUGCGUAGGUGGUUUGACAAGUUAGUAGCGCAACUCCGUAGCUCAACUUCGGAACUACUACUAAAACUGUUGGACUUGAGUGCAGGAGGGGCAAUCGGAAUUCCUAGUGUAGCGGUGGAAUGCGUAGAUAUUAGGAGGAACACCAGUGGCGAAGGCGGAUUGCUAGACUGUAACUGACACUGAGGCACGAAAGCGUGGGGAGCAAACAGGAUUAGAUACCCUUGUAGUC